AUCUAAGUACCCCGAGGAAAAGAAAUCAACCGAGAUUCCCCCAGUAGCGGCGAGCGAACGGGGAGGAGCCCAGAGCCUGAAUCAGCAUGUGUGUUAGUGGAAGCGUCUGGAAAGGCGCGCGAUACAGGGUGACAGCCCCGUACACAAAAGCGCAUGUGCUGUGAGCUCGAUGAGUAGGGCGGGACACGUGGUAUCCUGUCUGAAUAUGGGGGGACCAUCCUCCAAGGCUAAAUACUCCUGACUGACCGAUAGUGAACCAGUACCGUGAGGGAAAGGCGAAAAGAACCCCGGCGAGGGGAGUGAAAAAGAACCUGAAACCGUGUACGUACAAGCAGUGGGAGCACAGGUUUACCUGUGUGACUGCGUACCUUUUGUAUAAUGGGUCAGCGACUUAUAUUCUGUAGCAAGGUUAACCGAAUAGGGGAGCCGUAGGGAAACCGAGUCUUAACCGGGCGUUAAGUUGCAGGGUAUAGACCCGAAACCCGGUGAUCUAGCCAUGGGCAGGUUGAAGGUUGGGUAACACUAACUGGAGGACCGAACCGACUAAUGUUGAAAAAUUAGCGGAUGACCUGUGGCUGGGGGUGAAAGGCCAAUCAAACCGGGAGAUAGCUGGUUCUCCCCGAAAGCUAUUUAGGUAGCGCCUCGUGAAUUCAUCUCCGGGGGUAGAGCACUGUUUCGGCUAGGGGGCCAUCCCGGCUUACCAACCCGAUGCAAACUGCGAAUACCGGAGAAUGUUAUCACGGGAGACACACGGCGGGUGCUAACGUCCGUCGUGAAGAGGGAAACAACCCAGACCGCCAGCUAAGGUCCCAAAGUCAUGGUUAAGUGGGAAACGAUGUGGGAAGGCCCAGACAGCCAGGAUGUUGGCUUAGAAGCAGCCAUCAUUUAAAGAAAGCGUAAUAGCUCACUGGUCGAGUCGGCCUGCGCG
rnacentral:rRNA from 1 species